rnacentral:rRNA from 1 species
GACGAACGCUGGCGGCGUGCUUAACACAUGCAAGUCGAACGGAAAGGCCCUGCUUUUGUGGGGUGCUCGAGUGGCGAACGGGUGAGUAACACGUGAGUAACCUGCCCUUGACUUUGGGAUAACUUCAGGAAACUGGGGCUUAUACCGGAUAGGAGCUCCUGCUGCAUGGUGGGGGUUGGAAAGUUUCGGCGGUUGGGGAUGGACUGGCGGCUUAUCAGCUUGUUGGUGGGGUAGUGGCUUACCAAGGCUUUGACGGGUAGCCGGCCUGGGGGGGUGACCGGCCACAUUGGGACUGAGAUACGGCCCGGACUCCUACGGGAGGAAGCAGUGGGGAAUAUUGAACAAUGGGCGGAAGCCUGAUGCAGCAACGCCGCGUGCGGGAUGACGGCCUUCGGGUUGUAAACCGCUUUCGCCUGUGACGAAGCGUGAGUGACGGUAAUGGGUAAAGAAGCACCGGCUAACUACGUG